GGAUCAUUACAGAGAUUGUCGAAAGACGAACUCCCGUUCUUGUUUUUGUCACAUUGCCUUGCUCGAAAGAGCAGCAACAAUUUUUAUUAUCUUGAUGUCUGAGUUACUAUUUAAUAGUUAAAACUUUCAACAACGGAUCUCUUGGUUCUGGCAUCGAUGAAGAACGCAGCGAAAUGCGAUAAGUAAUGUGAAUUGCAGAAUUCAGUGAAUCAUCGAAUCUUUGAACGCACAUUGCGCCCUUUGGUAUUCCGAAGGGCAUGCCUGUUCGAGCGUCAUUACAACCUCAAGCCUUGCUUGGUGAUGAGAGAUAUGGUCUUCGGGCUAUACUUUCUAAAAUCAGUGGUGAUGUCUUAUCAACUCACAUGUAGUACUAUAUCUCAUGACGACGACAUAAGACCCCCCCAUAAACUUCUAUGUUUGACCUCGGAUCAGGUAGGGAUACCCGCUGAACUUAAGCAUAUCA
rnacentral:sRNA from 1 species